GGGCCCGCACAAGCGGUGGAGCAUGUGGUUUAAUUCGAUGCAACGCGAAGAACCUUACCAGGGUUUGACAUCCUGCGAAUCUCUUGGAAACAGGAGAGUGCCUUCGGGAACGCAGUGACAGGUGGUGCAUGGCUGUCGUCAGCUCGUGUCGUGAGAUGUUGGGUUAAGUCCCGCAACGAGCGCAACCCACGUCUUUAGUUGCCAUCAUUUAGUUGGGCACUUUAAUGGGACUGCCGGUGACAAACCGGAGGAAGGUGGGGAUGACGUCAAGUCCUCAUGGCCCUUAUGGCCAGGCUUCACACGUAAUACAAUGCUACGGACAAAGGGCUGCAAGUUCGCGAGGACAAGCAAAUCCCCAUAAACCGUGGCUC
rnacentral:rRNA from 1 species